UGAUGACUUUUAGAAU
rnacentral:sRNA from 1 species